AUACGGAGGGUCCAAGCGUUAUCCGGAAUCAUUGGGUUUAAAGGGUCCGCAGGCGGUCAAUUAAGUCAGAGGUGAAAGCCCAUCGCUCAACGAUGGAACUGCCUUUGAUACUGGUUGACUUGAGUUAUACGGAAGUAGAUAGAAUAAGUAGUGUAGCGGUGAAAUGCAUAGAUAUUACUUAGAAUACCGAUUGCGAAGGCAGUCUACUACGUAUAUACUGACGCUGAGGGACGAAAGCGUGGGGAGCGAACAGGAGUAGAAACCCUAGUAGUCC
rnacentral:rRNA from 1 species